UACGUAGGGGGCAAGCGUUGUCCGGAAUCAUUGGGCGUAAAGCGCGUGUAGGCGGUCCGGUAAGUCCGCUGUGAAAGUCGGGGGCUCAACCCUCGGAUGCCGGUGGAUACUGUCGGGCUUGAGUACGGAAGAGGCGAGUGGAAUUCCUGGUGUAGCGGCGAAAUGCGCAGAUAUCAGGAGGAACACCAAUUGCGAAGGCAGCUCGCUGGGACGUUACUGACGCUGAGACGCGAAAGCGUGGGGAGCAAACAGG
rnacentral:rRNA from 1 species